GGAAGGGAGAGGAAGAGCAGAAAAAGAGGAAGAGAGCAGGUUGAUGACCAGGGGGAGGUCGAUUUUGAACUUCCAGGCACAUCCACUGAAGUCUUCUGUCCUUCCACGUUUGGCCUGCAGAUGAUCAGAGUAUGGUCCUGCUGUGAGCCCGGUCAGGACUGAGUCUAAGGUUCCAGCGUUGAGGCUUGUGAUUUUUCCCGCCGUCAUCUUCACUCUCCGUUGUGUCCUGCCGUGCCACCCGCGGCCGCUUUCGCCGGCGUGAGCUGAUUCGCUGGAGAGAGCCUGACUCAUGGAGCCUGGGGCCAAUCAGUCAUUAGUGUUCACACAGAGGCAUGCCCUGAGGACAGAAUACAGCACAGAAGCAGACCAGCAGAUGCUUAGUCACUUGGGACAAUUUUUCAGAAAAAAUGACACCACACAGUGACAGAAAUAAAGUCAUGUGAGAUGGACAUUUAAAACAAUGUAUUCGAGCACAAUUAGAGAAGAAGAAACACUUCCAGUAGCCUCAGAUGCUUGAGUAGGAAGCUGAAGCACUCACCGGUGUGGGCGGCGUAUGUGCUUCUGGGUAAAGUGUACAGGGACCGGCCUGGCAAAGACACGAUACGUCCACCACUACACAGCUCGCCCCCACCUGAGACAAGAAAGAGAUCACACCUUUAUCUGUAAGAUUCUUUUAUCCUGUUUUUUCAGUCGACAGCUUAUUGAAAUUUAUUAAGGUCAGCUAAUCUGUUGAGUCAGUUUCAGUUACUAAUGGUUCUACACUACUUGUAAAUUGUAGUGGUUUUAUAAUCUGCUCAUCAGAGAAAGGUCAAAUUCAAGGUCAAAAUGCAAAAAAAAAAAAAAAUUGUCAGCCCCCUCCCCCCCAAAAAAAACAAUCCUUUAUUCUUGCUUUUAACUUGUCCAACCUUUUGGCAUUCUUAGCCGCUCAUAAGUUGAGGACGGCUGACGAAGCAUAACAUGAGUGCAGACAUGAAUCAGUGUGACUCAGGCAAAGACAGAAAUAACAUCACGGCUGUAAUUACAGUGUAACACCGCAGCAUGAUUCAUCAGCUCAGUCCAACUUCACCUCUUGGCCCUUUGACCUGGCCUUAAUCCUCAGUUUGGGCCUCAGGCCUGAAGUGACGAAUGUUUUUAGUUUCUGAAUGAAGUGGAAGUUAAGAGAUUUAUAAAGAAAAUGUAGUUUCUGUUUGCUGUUGAAAAUAUUCAGAUCUCAGUGGGACUCCUCAUUUUGCCUGCCAACAGCUAAAGCAGUACUUCUCAAAUAGUGUGCCACAGUGUGCAUAAGUGUGCCACAGCUGUAAUGCAUGAAUGAUAACAAGCCUUCAGUCACUAGGUGGCAGCAACUCAUAGUCGUUUGUACAGACAAAAUAUACACUUUAUUAGGUUCUUAAUAGUAUUUUAGUUCGCAGGGCUGUGGAUGGGGGAGGGUGUGGGGGCCGUGAAAACAUUUCUGUCCCCAAGGGGGGGGGGGGCAUGACAGAAAAUAAUUAAGAACCACUGAGCUAAAGCAACAUACUCUCAGUUAACUCUUAUUGUAAAAUUGCACUUUGCAAAUAGAAUAAAAUCAAAUCUUACCACACAGUCAUCUGCUAACAUCUCUCCUGACAAAAAUGGGUCGUGGGAGUCUGAUUCCCUCCGCAGCAUCGUAACCUCUGACCUUGUUCACACGUUCACACAGUCCUG